AUAAUAUUAGGUGAAAAUUUAGUCAAAGUAAUUAGUCUUACAAAUGUAUCCUAUGACAUGUCAAUCAUAGAUUUCUUGAAAUUUUGUAUUGGUUAUCAAAGAACAUGGAUUUACAAAUUUGUUGACUUUUAUGUUGUGAAAAAUGGAAAAACAUAUAUGUUAAAUAAUCCAUCUGAUAUUGUUAUUUAUGGUCAAACUAUAAGUGAAUUGUUUAAAAUUUGUAGCACAGCUGAACCAUGUAGUAUAACAAUCGAUUUAUGUUCAUAUGAAGAAAGAGUUAGAGGAUUAAUUCAAACAGAAGGAACAAAUGAGGUGUAUGAAAAUACUAUUGUAGUAUUACAAGAAUUACGUAAGAAAAUUAUGGUAGAAGAAUAUUAUUAUUACACAGUAAUAAAUGCAGGAGUAGAUACAAAUGUAUUCAGUUUCGAUAUUAUAUGUUUAGAAUAUAAUGCUGGUUCAUAUGAAAAGAACAUUUUCGGUAAUUCAAGUAUAUGUAAUAUUCCUGCAACCUUUACAGUUGGUGAUGUAUUAGCUUUUGUUGAAAAGAAAUUAAAAGAAGAUGCAAAAGUAAAUCUUACAGAAACGUUAGAAUUACAAAUUGUAUAUAACAAUCAAUAUAUAAAAGUACCAAAUACUAUGAAUAUUGUUGAAGUUAUUAGACAUUAUUGUAACUUUGCUCCAAGUAUUGUUUCGAAACAAAAUCCUGAUCCAUUAAAUUUAAUUCAUUUAAUUUUACACAAUACCAUUAUAGAUAUUGCUUAUAAUACAUUUAUUAAAAAGAAUAUAUCCUUAUAUGUUAAAAAUGAGAAUGCAUUGGAGUUGAUAAAAAUAAGUUAUAUUCCAUUUAAUUUGACAGAAGAUAAUGUAGUAUCAUAUCUAUUAUCUUAUAUUGCACAACCAUAUGAUUUACACAUGUUAAUAAAAGAUAAUUCAACAAUUUGUGUAUAUCCAAACUGUAUAACACCCUAUUUACAUUAUAAUAGUAGACAAUUAUCAAUCAUUGCUUCUUUAUCAUAUCAUGAAACUUUUUCAAAUAUUUGUAUAAUAUCUACUGUUGAAACAUUUGAAAAUUCGUUUGCCAAUCUAAG
rnacentral:lncRNA from 1 species